rnacentral:rRNA from 1 species
GACGAACGCUGGCGGCGUGCCUAAUACAUGCAAGUUGAGCGCUGAAGGUUGGUACUUGUACCAACUGGAUGAGCAGCGAACGGGUGAGUAACGCGUGGGGAAUCUGCCUUUGAGCGGGGGACAACAUUUGGAAACGAAUGCUAAUACCGCAUAAAAACUUUAAACACAAGUUUUAAGUUUGAAAGAUGCAAUUGCAUCACUCAAAGAUGAUCCCGCGUUGUAUUAGCUAGUUGGUGAGGUAAAGGCUCACCAAGGCGAUGAUACAUAGCCGACCUGAGAGGGUGGUCGGCCACAUUGGGACUGAGACACGGCCCAAACCCCUACGGGAGGCAGCAGUAGGGAAUCUUCGGCAAUGGACGAAAGUCUGACCGAGCAACGCCGCGUGAGUGAAGAAGGUUUUCGGAUCGUAAAACUCUGUUGGUAGAGAAGAACGUUGGUGAGAGUGGAAAGCUCAUCAAGUGACGGUAACUACCCAGAAAGGGACGGCUAACUACGUG